rnacentral:rRNA from 1 species
AAAAAACGUGAUGGCGGUGCCUUAGAGCCACAAGUGAUUGAGCCAUGCCGCCUAGAAAAGCUUCUAAGCGUUGAUAUUUGAGUGACCGUACCGCAAACCGACACUGGUAGGUGGGUAGAAUAUACCAAGGGGAGCGAGAGAACCCUCGUUAAGGAAUUAGGCAAAUUUCCCCCGUACGUUCGCAAUAAGGGGGGCCUCUGGCGGUGAGCUUAAUCGCAAAGCUGCUGGAGGCCGCAGAGAAAUGGCUCUUCCAACUGUUUAACAAAAACACAGGUCUCUGCUAAGUCGGAAGACGAAGUAUAGGGGCUGACGCCUGCCCAGUGCUGGAAGGUUAAGGGGAGAGGUUAGGCGCAAGCCGAAGCUUUGAGCCGAAGCCCCAGUGAACGGCGGCCGUAACGAUAACGGUCCUAAGGUAGCGAAAUUCCUUGUCGGGUAAGUUCCGACCCGCACGAAUGGCGUAAUGAGAGGAGCACUGUCUCAACGAGGGACUCGGCGAACAUUGAAGGACGUGUGAAGAUACACGUGACCCGCAGCGGGACAAAAAGACCCCGUGAAGCUUUACUACAACUUGCCAUUGAGUUAGGGCUAAACCUGUGUAGUAUAGGUGGGAGGCUUUGAAGCUGGGACGCCAGUCUCGGUGGAGCCACCGUUGAAAUACCACCCUGGUUUAUUCUUGGCUCUAACCUGUCGCCGUUAUCCGGCAUGGGAACAGUGGCUGGUGGGUAGUUUGACUGGGGCGGUCGCCUCCGAAAGCGUUACAGAGGCGCCCAAAGGUUCCCUCAGGCUGAAUGGAAACCAGCCGUUGAGUGUAAAGGCACAAGGGAGCUUGACUGCAAGACCAACAAGUCGCGCAGGGACGAAAGUCGGGCUUAGUGAUCCCACGGUUCAGAGUGGAAUGGCCGUGGCUUACCGGAUAAAAGCUACUCCGGGGAUAACAGGGUAGUCUGGUCCAAGAGUUCAUAUCGACGACCAGGUUCGCCACCUCGAUGUCGGCUCAUCACAUCCUGGGGCUGGAUAAGGUCCCAAGGGUUGGGCUGUUCGCCCAUUAAAGUGGUACGUGAGCUGGGUUCAGACCGUCGUGAGACAGGUCGGUCUCUAUCCGCUGUGGGCGUAAGGGAUUUGAGAGAAGCUGCCCCUAGUACGAGAGGACCGGGGUGGACGGACCUCUAGUGUGCCAGUUGUUCUGCCAAGAGCAUUGCUGGGUAGCUACGUCCGGCAGAGAUAACCGCUGAAAGCAUCUAAGUGGGAAACUCGUCUCAAGAUUAGAUCCCUCAUCCGUAUGGAGUAAGACCGCUAGAAGACUACUAGUUUGAUAGGCGGCAGGUGUAAGCGCAGUAAUGUGUUCAGCUUAGCCGUACUAAUGGUCAAGGGCUUACGUUU